rfam:Pteropus alecto contig46870, whole genome shotgun sequence.
AACCCCGUGGCAGUGGGCAAAGACACACCUGAUUAUUGGUGUUACUCUUACAUCAGUCAAGGGACAAAGCAGACGUACAGUUCAUCCUAGCUGGAUGCCUAGAUUGGUGACCAGAAGUGUUUCACGCCUGGGGCACAAUA